rnacentral:rRNA from 1 species
UACGUAGGGCGCGAGCGUUGUCCGGAAUUAUUGGGCGUAAAGGGCUUGUAGGCGGUUUGUCGCGUCUGCCGUGAAAUUCCUCAGCUUAACUGGGGGCGUGCGGUGGGUACGGGCAGGCUUGAGUGCGGUAGGGGAGACUGGAAUUCCUGGUGUAGCGGUGGAAUGCGCAGAUAUCAGGAGGAACACCGGUGGCGAAGGCGGGUCUCUGGGCCGUUACUGACGCUGAGGAGCGAAAGCAUGGGGAGCGAACAGG